GUCUGUUUGCAAUACCCAAUCUUUUUUGAACCUUUGGACCUAUUUUCAGUAAUACUCCUUGUAUAGGAGUUGGUAUUAUCAGAUCUAAUAUUACAAUAUUUUACCAUAAUAUGAUACCAUAAAUAUAAUCUGAAUUCCCAUAUAUUUUUCUUUUAUAUUUUGUCGACGAAAAUACAAUUACACUUCAUAUAAUAAUGGUACCAUGACAUAAUGAUUAACUAAGGACAAGGAUGUCUACAUGGUUCAUCUACUGCCGGUGGACUACCAGCUACGAUUCUUGGUGGACUACGAACUACGAUUCUUGGUGGAUUUUCAGUUGCAACUUUAACUGGUGAAGUAACAACUGCAAUUCGACGAUUGGACCCAUUAUCGGCUACAAUAUUUGCAUCGAUCUCAUGGCCAUCACAUAGGAAGAGUAAGAAGAGAAGCCCUGCGAGCUUUAAACUAAUUGCAAAUGACAUUCGAUUUUAUGAUCAGAAUGUGUUUAGCUUUCGCGAAUUUGUAUAUUAUAUAUAAUUUGUAAACGAUCUUU
rnacentral:lncRNA from 1 species